AGCAAAGUGAACUUGAUUACAAUUUAGAUCAGAUCUUUUACCACUUGUCAUUUCUGAAGAAUCAGAACAUGGACACCAAGUGAUACAAAGCUAGAAGCUCAUUUUAUUUCUGUUUCUUCUCUGUCUUCUUCACCUUCUUAGUGGUCUUCUUCUGGAGCUUCUUAAUUUCAUGCUUAAUGAUCCUGUUUCUCAUUUUCUUUGCCUUCAUAACCUUGUAACGAUCGAAGUCAGUCAUUUUGGCUUUCUUUUCUCUGGCUUCAAUCUUCUUCGCCCAUCGUGUUGCUGCCCACUUCUCAUUUAUAUUCUCCUUCUCCCAGGCACGACGCACACACUUCUGACGAGCGCUGUGCGGGAACUUGAGAACAAAGUCAGUCAGCUGCAUGCACUUGAAGGGCAUGGCUUGUCUUCUGACACCACUGCAGGGGCCAUCCACUAGCGCCCUGUUCUGGUCGAUAACAUCCACGAUGGCCACCAGCUUGCCAGCAUGCCUCCCGAAGGAGACGAAGGCGAUUCUGCCGAUCUCGACGAAGCGUUUGAACACCAUGAUGGCCGCCCGCGAGCAGAAAGGGAAGGGCGGGCCCCGCGCCGGCCGGAAGCCGCCCUCGAGGCGCUACCGCGCAUGUGCGGAGGCGGGAUCGAGCUCGCCCUGCUCAGCGCGCCCGCGCGGAACGCUCUCUUCGGCUCAAGGCCGGUCAGGAAUGGCGGCGUGCCAAUACGCAUGCGCGGUGGGCUGCGCGGCUCUGCGUGCGUGUACGUGCUGGGGUGCGCUGCAGAGGUGGCGUGCAGCCAUGUCCCGAGAGACGGGCAGCCCGCGAGCAUCCGCACAGCGCUGCCACUGCGAACUGGUGCUGCUGCCGCACGAAGGUGCCACCGGGCCCUGCACACCAUCAGGGCGUGGCAGAAAAGCUCCGUCAGCUCGCUGUGUGCGCACGUACGUGUUCUGCAGGGUUUGAUUCUGUAAGCAUUAGCCAAAAACGUGCCGUGGGAAAGAAGAGAGUAAGCAAAAUGCACCGCAGAGCACUGAUGGAAAACAGGUCAAGUCUGCUGCACAUGCUGCCUUCUGGAUUCUUCUGUUCUGCAGUGAUCUGGAAAAAUAUUUCUCCUUUUCCUCAUUUGAUGAACCAAACCUCUGUGGGACUUUGCAAGAGGGAGGAAGGGAAGACGACAUAAAUCCCUAGACUUUUUAAAGACCUUUGCAUGCUUUAUGAUGGAGAUGCUCAAAUGUCACUCCUGACUGUGCCGAUGGCGUGGGCUGUGCCUUACGAUCAAGCAACAAAAACAUCUGAGAGCAGCAAUGCAGUGGCACGGAAAAUCAUUGCCAAAGCAAUGACGGAGUUACAGCUUCAGAGGAUAAAGGAAGAGCAACUGACGUCAUCUACCUGGAGUUGUGCAGUGUGUUUGACACUGACCUGCGUGACAUCCUGGUCACCAAACUGGAGAACAUUGGAGACAAGUGGCGUUCCUCAGGGAUCGGUGCUGGGAUGGGUGUCAUUUUGGGGUUCAAAAAAGCUUUCUCCCUUUAGUACGCUUUUAAAACUCUACCGUUAGCCUGCAGAAACGUUGCCAAGCAAGGAACUCUAAAUACAGCCCAUGUACUCAAACAGCACUGAACACUGUAGACAGCACGCAGAAGAAAGCAGUGGUAACUAAAGAUACAACGACAACAACAAAAGGCACACUUACCUGGGCCCAGCUCUGUGAACAGAAAAACCACAUACUCGAAUUGAAGUCAGUCAGAGUAAAGUGCCCAGUUAAAUUCAAAGCAUUGAUUGUAUAGUAGAAUCCUGAGAAAGCCUAUGGAAAAGGAGCAGACGAAAGGCCUGUUACUUUCGGAACUACUGAAAUCAAAAGCAAGAAUGUUCAGAAAGAAAUGCUGAUUUGGAAACCUACCACAAAAUUUCCUUUAACUUUUGGCUGAUGGAUUCCAUUAAAUGGACAGUCCUCCUGGCUUCUGCAAGUACUGAAGUUAAACAAUAAUGAAACCAUCUCCUGACACAGACCUGGGUCUCCUGUUCCAUGGUAGAUUACGGAUUGGUCUGGGUAAUAGUUUGUUGGUCUCAGAGACUGUGUACAAAGGCUUCCACAGAAGUACUUCACUGUUAAUGCAGUCUUGUAAUUCCGAGGGUAACAUGGAUUAUCCACACUGGAAUUGGUGCUUGAUUUCUGAAGAAAAACAAAGACUGCUAAAAAAGCAAGAAAGACCUAAUGUGAUGAUAACUACAGAAAUCUUUUUAACCCACAUACAUGUGUUCUUGUUCUCUUCUCUGUCAUGGCUGAACACCGUAAUUCAUAUGGACUCUUUUUCUCAAAACCAUCAUUAGCAAAAUCAGCAAAACUCUUACAGAACACAUUGACUUUUUUUUGUCUAAUGGUACAAAACCCAGAGCAAUAUUUAACAAAUAUGAAGACCUUUGAAAUCUAAGUACUUUUUGGCCACAGCAACACCAGCUUUUACUGCCAUCUCCAAACUUAACCAGAGGGAAAAGAUCACAACCCUAAGAACCUGCUUAGACAACUAUGGGACAGCUGCAAGAGCAGCAUAGCAAACGGUCUUAAACAGACCUGGAGCAACAAUGCUAAAAGCCUUUUCUCAGCUUCAUCUCUCCCAUAACACUGGAAGCUGUGAGUGUAGACAUUGUAGUCGUAACCAUACAACUUCACUUGCAUGGUGUUAUUGAAGUUCUCCUGAGAGUCCUCUGGGAUAAAAGAAAUCUGAGUGGAAGCUCCUCCGAGAUCCAGUGCACCCAUGGUCUCUCUUCUGUAUGGAUGGACCCAUGCCCUCCAAAGGUUCCUCUACACAUAAAAAUAAAAACAAAGCUAAUUAGAAAUAUAAUCAGAUAUUGCUCUCCCUUUAAACUCUUCUACUUUUAACUUAACUUUUUUAGACUUCCCCUCCCUUUUUGUCCUUUACUCUUUCUCAAAAAUCUUAGGUCUGAGUAAAACAUGCAGAUGUUGUUUUUAGGUAAGUGAGAAGUACUCCCACAGAGCAAAGAGUCUGAAAGAUGGAAAAAGUAAUACAGCAUAGCUUUAAACACCAAGGACAGCACAAUAAUCAAAGUACUGGACUAACCAGAUCAAUAUCUAUACUAGAAUGCAGGAAAUUGAAGUCUGGGGACCUGGGAGAUCUGAAUGAAAUUAGCAUGCAAAUGUGUUUGUUUCAAGGCAAGAUUAAUUACUAAAGGAAUAGAAUACUAUGAGAUCACACAGGAAAAGAGAAUGAAAGAGUAAAAUAGAAGUCAAAGGAACAUGAACCCCUAAUCUGUACAUUUCCUUCACUGAAACUGCAGUGGCAAUAAAUCCGAUCCAUUCAGUUGGCAUUUUUCCCUGUUACCCAAAACAUCCCCCAAAUUCUGCAUUUGAUCUACACAAUCACUGUGCAGAAUACCCUUUCUGCGUUAAUAAUUCUCUCCAUAUUUACUGAAGUAUAAUUUACUAUGGAUAAUGAUGUGAACAUAAACACAAGAAAGGAAAAGAAACAUGGGCUAGCAAACACGCUCAUGAAAAAAAUCUACAGUGAUAGAUUCCCCUUAAGAGCCCAUGGGAGAAUUUCACUCCUAUCUCCAGUCUUGUUACAAGAAUAGUGAGAAGCUACUUGCUCCUACUCGUGAUAAUCCACACUUUAGUCUUCACACAACUCUAUACUAAACUGGCUUCAAAACGUGUAGCAUUCUCUUCAGUAGUCCUCAUGAAUGUGUCAUAUGGAAAUUGAGAUCUUCAUUAUUAAAAUUCAUGUGAUACGAGACUGACAUCACCCCAAAGUUCAUGAAAUCAUUUUUUUUUUCUGCAUAAAAUAAGAAAAACCAUGCCAGAACAUGUGAUUCUACUAUUUAGUUUUCUUAACUUAGCAGGAACCAACAACACAUUCACCAUGAAGUAUCACUUGGAUUGCCAACUCCUGCUUACUAAUUUCCAUGACUGAACAGGAACCAUUCUACCAAGACAAUGAACAAUACUCAGAGGUCUGGUUGGAAUUAUUUUCAGCCUAGCAAGACUAUCUGGAAGAACUGCAAUAAAUGCUGAGAGCAGCACACAACUGCCAUGAAAGCCAGUUGCUGGUCAUCUCAAUACUGUUCUUACUGGGAAUUAAAAAAUUCCCAGAGAAAAUACUUCCUGUUAUGAAACACCUGCCUGACUCUCCUACAAGUUCAAGGCAAAGUGUAAGUAUCUUUACGUUGCUAUCACUCUAGACAAAAUAGGAGGACCCACUAACUGAUCUUCCCUCCCGAGUCUAGACCUGACAGUUGAUGUCAGCCUGCAGCUUUUCAGCAGUACUGUAAUGAACUGUAUGGGUGAUUUCUGGCCCAGCUGAGGCAUAUUGGGCCACAUAAAAUUCACUGCUUAAGACAACUGUCUUUUUUAGUUAAGACAAAUGAGCUAACAUUGCCAAACAGUUUGGAAACUUCUAAGCUGCGUAGGCUUUUCACCAGUAGAGAUGCAGAGACAGCAACUACCUGCACAAGUCACAGAAAAGAAGGUGGAAACAUCCUUAAUUGGCACCACUGUCAAGAUAGUCAACAUUCAUCACAUUUUAAAAUACUGAUGCAUUUAAGAGCAGUGCAAUUUCUGUUUCUACAUAAGGCAUUGAUGUCAUUUAUGGAAGAGCCCUGUUUAGUGGAUCCACAGUUUUACCUUUCCCAGGUCAGAUUUCUGUCACAUCUUUUCAUCUACGCUUUCUUUGUUCAAUUACUACCACAACAAGACCCUGUUAUGUAUUUCACUGUGAAGUGAAAAUUAUAGCUAUGAUGUUUUAACAGGCAUUUUCUCUCAGACCUCUCAUUUAUAAGAAAGAGAACAGUGAAAAGCAUGCAUUUUUUCCACACACCUCUAAGAAAUUGCCCAUUAAAUAGUUGGCUGUUAUCCAUCCAUACACCCCUUCCUCUGGCCCAGUUAUGAUAUGCGCACCCCUAAAUUGAAAAGGUUGUGCUCUGAAGUAGUUUUGAAUGCUUGCAAGGACUUCGUUGGCUGCUGUUUCAUUUUGCAACCUAAGCAAUUCACAAAACAUGAGACGCUGAGCAUCUGGAAAGGUAAUUUCAUGUUUAGUCUUCACUGCCUAGCAGCUCAAGAAAAGCCUUAUAAUCACCUAAUAAAAACUGACAUUGUUUUAGCCUAAAGGGGAAGCUUAUUAUAGGGAACAGCCAAGCACCCAGCAUCAUUGCAGCAAGCAACUCGCCCACUAUAUACAAACUUUGCUCUUUAUCAUACAAGUUCAUAAAUAUUUUGUCUCAAACAUACUCUUUUUUCAGUGAACUGAGUGCUUGCAUGGUAUCUGUGAGCUAUACAGUCCUGCAAUCCUUCUUCUCACUCUGCUUAGUCAGAGAACAAAUGUAUAAAAAAAUUUGUGCCACAGCUGAAGCCAUAGACAGACCCCAAAAGCCACAUUACAUCACAUUCACACUAAGA
rnacentral:lncRNA from 1 species